GACGAACCAUUCAAACGUUAUUCGGAUUCACUGGGCUUAAAGCGUGCGUAGGCGGUCUUGUUAGUCAGGUGUGAAAGCCCUCAGCCUAACUGAGGAAUUGCGCUUGAUACUGCAUGACUAGAGAAUGAUAGAGGUGGGUGGAACUGAUGGUGGAGCGGUGAAAUGCGUUGAUAUCAUCAGGAACACCAGUGGCGAAGGCGACCCACUGGGUCAUUUCUGACGCUGAGGUACGAAAGCUAGGGUAGCGAACGGG
rnacentral:rRNA from 1 species